rnacentral:lncRNA from 1 species
CUGUCGAAGAGUCGGGAGCGGUGAGGGCGGCAACAACAGAUCCACAGGUGUGCUGCUCUCCCAGACAAGGCCGCAUCCUUGUAAAUGGAAAACUGGUUUUGUAGGUACCGUAUGCCUUUCUCUACUUCAGAAGGACUUCUCUUACCUUAAGACUCCUUGAGAACAAACAAAUAAAAAUGGUCAGUGAAGAAACCACAAGGGGCAAGGCCCGCAGUCCGGAACGUCUUAGGUAAGCACAAAUUUCAUCUGACAGAAGGUGCACAUCUAAGUGUUGCAUUUGGAUUCACUGCGCAAGUUAGGAAUCGGAAGAGUUCUCAACUGAAACUUGGCUGGUGGUUUUUGGUCUAUUCAGAAGUUAUUUGAUGGCUAAACACAACCUAGCCUGUGUCCAUGAAGUGCCAAAACCUAAACUAAGCUCGUGUGUAUGUGUGUGUGUGUGUGUGUGUGUAUGUUAGUUAUAGACAUAUAUGUGUGUAUACACAUAUAAAUAUAUGUAAUUCCACAUCAUAGGAACCUUCCCACACUUCACUGCAGAAAUAAAGUUUGAUUAUGUCCACUGACAUUCAAAUACACAAAAUCUGCCAGCAUCCCCACUGUUAGGCAAUUUAAGCAGCUAUAGAGAGAUGGAAGGUGGAAAGACAGGCUUCAUCUGACCUUAAGCAGGAUGUUUAUUCACUGUGAGGGGGCAUUUUGCCACCCAUGGUGGAUGUGUGUGGCUUCUCCUUGUGGGAAAGGCACCUACAGAAGUAGGUGGGAGAUAGCACUUUUCGGUGUGAAACUUACUUUCACAGUCCACAAAGGAAGCUGAAAAGUGUAGAUCUUCAGCAGGAAACCAUCGUUCCUAACUCUGACAGGAUAUAAAAAAGGCCUAGCAGGGGUGUUUCAUUUUUUCCUGUUAAAUCUUUGUUAGAAGGAAUGAUUAUGGGUCCAUUGAAGGGAUGUCCUCUACUUAAGUCUCAAAGGGAGAGUACUAUUUUGAUCGGUUGUGAGGGAGCAGGCACUUGUCCUGUGUUCCUAAGGAGUCUUGGGAAAUAAUUAUUUGAGGUAUGCAAGCAAAUGAGUUGGCUACAGAAUAGAGCUGAGAGAUUUUCUGGGAAAGUUAGGGGAGGGGGCAGAGUGAAGUUGGGAUAUACAAAGUGGACCAGUGAGAGAAAGUGAGCAGGCUGGGUGGUGGUGGCGCAUGCCUUUAAUCCCCGUACUUGGGAGGCAGAGGCAGGCAGAUUUCUGAGUUCGAGGCCAGCCUGGUCUACAAAGUGAGUUCCAGGACAACCAGGGCUAUACAGAGAAACCCUGUCUCCAAAACAAGACAAAACAAAACAAACAAUACUAGCUCUUAGUUAAUGAACAAAACCAGGUUAUCUCAUGUAAAAUGCAAUUUUUUUUGGUUAGGUAAAAUUUUUAAAAAUUGGUACUUGUAUUAGUCAGGGUUCUCUAGAGUCACAGAACUUAUGGAUAAUUUCUAAAUAGUAAAGGAAUUUAUUGAUGACUUACAGUCGGCAGCCCAAUUCCCAACAAUGGUUCAGUCGCAGCUGUGAAUGGAAGUCCAAGGAUCUAGCAGUUACUCAGUCUCACGCAGCAAGCAGGCGAAGGAGCAAGAGCAAGAGCUAGACUCCCUUCUUCCAAUGUCCUUAUAUUGUCUCCAGCAGAAGGUGUAGCCCAGAUUAAAAGUGUGUUCCGCCACACCUUUAAUCCCAGAUGAAAGGCGUAGCCCAGAUUAAAGGUGUGUUCCUUAAACACGGAGAUUCAAUCUUCUGGAAUCCAUAGCCACUAUGGCUCAAGAUCUUCAAACCAAGAUCCAGAUAAGGAUCUCCAAGCCUCCAGAUAAGGGUCACUGGUGAGC